GAUGAACGCUGGCGGCGUGCCUAACACAUGCAAGUCGAGCGGAAAUAUUCAGAAGUAUACGUACGGAUGGAUAUUUUAGCGGCGGACGGGUGAGUAACACGUGAGCAACCUACCUUUUGCUGGGGAAUAACAUCGGGAAACCGAUGCUAAUACCGCAUGACAUUCCGAUGGGGCAUCCUGUUGGAAUCAAAGGAGAGAUCCGGCAAGAGAUGGGCUCGCGUCCGAUUAGCUGGUUGGUGAGGUAACGGCUCACCAAGGCGACGAUCGGUAGCCGGACUGAGAGGUUGGACGGCCACAUUGGGACUGAGACACGGCCCAGACUCCUACGGGAGGCAGCAGUGGGGAAUAUUGGGCAAUGGGGGAAACCCUGACCCAGCAACGCCGCGUGAAGGACGAAGGCCUUCGGGUUGUAAACUUCUUUGAUCAGGGACGAAAGCGAUGACGGUACCUGAGGAACAAGCCACGGCUAACUACGUGCCAGCCGCCGCGGUAAACCCUCGUCUCUA
rnacentral:rRNA from 1 species